rnacentral:lncRNA from 1 species
UCAAGGAUGAUGUUUACAUCAAUAAAAAACAAAAACAAAAUAGAACUUUGAAAAAAAAAAAGAUUAAAGAUCCUAAAUAGUUAAGUUGAGCCCUUGAACUAUAAGAUGAGAUUUUCACAGUACUUCCCUCGCAACCAUGUCCAUCGUAUCUUGUUGCCUUUUAAGAGAAAUGAACAUCUCCCUCAGAUUCGGGUCCUCCAAGAGCACCAUAAUAAAAGCCAGUCUGAUAUCAAUGCCUUGUGGCUUUUAUGCACUUGGUAAUUGUGAAUCAUUCUUCACACUGGGCCUUCUGUCAUUUUCAGGGCAUGAAACUAAACCUCCAGAAUUCAGACUUGUCCAACUCCUCAUAGUGGCUAGAUUGGGCAUAGUCUGCGAAUAUUGUGCAGACAGUCCUUGAUCUUGGUUGUUUCGGUCGGGCUUAGGCUGUGCCAGUGAGUAUAAAAAUCAGAAAACUACGAUUACAUUAAUUAAGAAGGAACAAACUCGGAUAAAGGAAAAAAGAUGUACCCCUAUGUCCCAUAGGUCAAACCCAAUCGUCCAUGGCAAAAUCGUUUGAAUCAAAAACAUUGUUUCGUUUGUUCCCCAAUUGAAUCUGCUCGACAACGAGGUCUGCAAAUAUCUUAUUAUCUGUCCACCUUGUCCUCAACCGUUCUUGCUUGGGUUGAUAUUUAUUGGCUUCAAUUUCCAUCUGCAAAUCUGUUUAUCACGAUUGAAUUGUGGAUUUAUAAAUUAAUACCAUUCAGCAUAGCAUUAAUCUCUAAGCUAACAACAGAUUUCAAACAAGCCAAACACCUACUCACCCUUCCCCCACCAAUAAAAAUGGAACACCAGGAAGAAAAAAAUAAUAAUACUAAUAAAAAAGUCUCCACUCCAUUCCUUUUUAAUUUUCUUUUUUGUGAGAAUUUUUUGUUCCUUUUUAUCUGUGGUUUGUUAAGUUUAAAAAAAAAACCACAACAACAUAAUUUACUUAGUUUCCCAAAUUACUCCAAGCUUUAAAUACAUAUUUGUUUCUAGUUUCUCUCAUAGCUUUCCAAUGAAUUUUUCUCUAAUAAGAUAACAUUAUCUCUUUUCAAUGUGAGGAUAAUAUUGACUAAUAACACUUAUUUUGAUCAAUUAGCCAAAGUAUUGCAUUUCUUAAUCUAAUCUAUGUGUUCACUUCUAAAACAACAAUUAUAAAAAAGAUAGAUGAAAGUAUGUACAAAGAGUUCAACCUUCUAUGCCAAGAUGGAUAUGUACAAUGGAUUUCAAAAUAUAUGUCUAUUUCAAAGAAUAAUAUUUAUAGAUAAUUAAUUAUCACCUACAAUAGGAAAACUAACCAGUAAUCACUUACCAUCCAUAUAGAGUAGUUAGUUUCACAUGAAUCUACAACAAUGACCAUUAGGCCCUUUCAAUAAUCUUAAGAGAAUUUGAAACCGAAUUGGAAGCAAAUGCAAUUAAUCAUUGAUUAAUACAUGUACUAUAUAAAUAAACAUAAACACAUACAAUAGAAUAGAAUAGAAUAAGCAGGGUGAAGCUACUUGGUUUCUCUAAGAAGGGAAAUUGCCCCUCAUGAACUUUAAUGUCACAAGUGUAUUUUUUCUUAAAGUGUUAGAAAGUAAUUAUGUAAUCUCAUAUUCCUAGAAGCAGUAUUAAAUAUGGUUGUUGAGCUUGCUGGAUUCUCUAAGUGUCUUUUGUAUUCUCAAAGAGUCUUUAAGUCUUAUUCUAGAGAACUCCACUCCUAGAUUAAAUAGGAGAUUGUUGUAACCCAUGAAUGAUUAUGAAAAGAAGUACAGCAGUCUAUAAUAAAAAAAAGGAAAACUAUUCUGCAGGAGCAGUAGCUCUGCAAAGCCUAUUACUCACCUUCUUUCUAAUAAAAAUCUAGUUUUAUCAAUUUCCUUGAAAAGUCCUGUCACUGCUCAUUGUGCUUUCGUUUGCCCCAACAAAUUUGCUAUCAAAGCUUCUUUUAAAAAUAAAUAAAUAACUCACAUUCUGCUAUCAUGAGUUCAACUUCAGUCCCUACCUUGUUUGCAUAUUUUCCAAGUCAAAUCCCUAUAUUUGAAGGGGAACACUAUGAGUACUGGAGCAGCCAAAUGGAAACUUUCUUCAUAUCUCAAGACCUUUGGGAUAUUAUUGAAACUGACUAUGAAGAACCACAUUGAAACUAGAGAUUGGUCACAAGCACAACAAAAGUUGUACAAGGAGAACAAAAAGAGAGAUGCCACAGCACUUCGAUUUAUACAGCAAGGGGUAAGCAAAUCAAUUUUUCCUAGAAUUUUUGGAGUCAAGAAAGCUAAAACUGCAUGGGAGAUUUUGCAAAAAGAAUUUCAAGGAUCUGCCAAGGCCAUCACUUUAAAACUUCAGACAUUAUGGAGAGAUUUUGAUAAUCUGUCAAUGAAAGAAAGUGAAAGCAUUCGAGUCUCUUCAAGAGUUGUUGAAAUAGUAAAUCAAAUCAAGGUUUGUGGUGACACCAUUGAAGACAAGAAAGUGAUUGAGAAAGUUUUGAGGAGUCUUCCUCCCAAAUUUGAUCAUGUUGUUGCAGCAUAGAAAAAUCCAAAGAUCUGUCCAAAAUGUCCAUACAUGAGUUAACAGGUUCACUCCAAACUCAUGAACAGAGGAUUAAUAGGUCCUCACAUCAGCCCGUGGAGCAAGCUUUUCAGUCCAAACUGAGAAUUUCAGAAAAGAAGGCCAAUAGGCCAGAUCAUGAAAAAAAUCAAAAUUCUUUUUCAAGAAGCAGCUGGGAAGAGGAAGAAGAGAGAAAACUUACAGUCACAACUCAAAAAAAGAAAGAAGUGGAAGCUCACAUCAAACUUUCAAUAAUGUAUAUCAUCUGCAAAAGAUCUAACCAUGAAUCCCGAGAUUGCAGAUUUAAAUGUACAAGAUGUCGAGUGCCUAAUCAUUCUCAAAGGGAUUGCUGGUUUCAAAACAAGGAGCAAAAUGAAGCUAAGUUCACAAAGGAAAGUGAAAAUGAAAACCUAUUUUACUCUUGCUUGUUUACUAGAAGUGAGUCACAAAAUUUAUGGUAUUUGGACAGCGGUUGCAAUAGCCAUAUGACGGGAAAUAAAGACUUCUUCGUAGAACUUAAUCACAGCUUCACUUCUCAAGUAAAGCUUGGAGACGGAAAGUUAUAGAAAGCUCUCGGAAAAGGUGUUAUUGCUGUCCACACCAAAGGAGGUAACAAAAGAUUAAUUUCUGAUGUUCUUUAUGUGUCAAAUUUAUCUGAAAAUCUCUUGAGUGUUGGUCAAUUGUUAAAGAAAGGCUAUUCGGUUAUCUUUGAUGAUUGCAAAUGCGAAAUUGUUGACAAGAAUAACUUGAUAGUAGCAAAAGUUGAAUGUCUAAAAAUAAGGUGUUUCUUCUUGUCAUACCUAUAGAGGAAAACCUUGCUUUAAGAAGUGAAAGUCUAGAUAUAGCCUACUUAUGGCACUUGAGAUAUGGGCAUUUAAAUUAUAGGGGUGUGAAAUUGUUGAAAGAAAAAAACAUGGUGGUUGGAUUGUCUGCUAUAGAGAAUAAUGGAAGAGUUUGUGAAGGUUGCGUCUAUGGAAAAAUGCAUAGACUUCCAUUUCCAAAAAACUCAUGGAGAGCUAAAGCCCCUUUAGAAUUGGUGCAUUCUGACAUAUGUGGUCCUAUGAGGACUCCAUCUCUCAACAAUAAGAGAUAUUUCAUUCUCUUUGUUGAUGACUAUACAAGAAUGAUGUGGUUGUACUUUUUAAAUGAAAAAUCAAAAGCUUUCUCAACCUUUCUUCCAUUCAAAGCUCUAGCAGAAAAGCAAAGUGGCUGUCAAAUGAAAACUUUACGGACAAAUCAUGGUGGGGAAUUUAUAUACACACCGUUCAUGAAUUAUUGCAAGGAGAAUGGAAUUCAAAGGCAGCUUACUGUUAGUAGAAGUCCGCAACAAAAUGGUGUGGCAGAAAGAAAGAAUCGCACUAUUGUAGAGAUGGCUCGUAGUAUGUUGUAAGAAAAAAGGCUUCUAAACAAUCUAUGGGCUUAAGCUGUUCAUACUUCCAUCUAUAUUCUUAAUCAAUUCCCUACGAAGGCGGUUCGAAACCAAACUCUAUUUGAGGCAUGGAAUAAUAGGAAGCCACUUGUUGAUCAUUUCAAAGUUUUUGGAUGCAUUGCUUAUGGCAUGAACACAUCGCAAAACAGGGACAAGUUUGACAAGAAAGGUGAAAAGUACGUGUUUAUUGGCUAUAGUAAUGAUUCUAAGGGAUUUAGACUCCUCAAUCCCAAGACAAAUCAGCUUGUGAUAUCUAGAGAUGUCAUUUUUUAUGAAAUAGCAGCUUGGGAGUGGAAGGACGGUUCUUCUCAAGCUCAAAAGUCAUACGAAUUUGUAGAAUCAUCAUCCUUUCAAGAAGAUGCAAAUCAAGAAAGCAACCUGCAGCAUGAAGUAACAAGAAGUUCCUCUAGAAUUCCAUCAUCAAUUCAUGAUCAUUCCGAUUCGGAAUCACCUCCAAGAAAGGUACGAUCAUUGCAAGAUGUCUAUGAAUCAUGUGAAUUUGCCCUUUUUUCAUGUGAACCUCACACUUUUGAAGAAGCAGCAAGUAAUAAUGUAUGGAUUAAAGCCAUGAAAGAAGAAAUCUCUAUGAUUGAAAAGAACAAAACUUGGGAGCUUAUGGAUCUGCCAAAGGGGAAGGAUAUCAUUGGAUUAAAAUGGAUUUAUAAGACAAAGUACAAUGAAAAUGGCUCAAUUCAAAAGCACAAGGCCAGAUUGGUAGCGAAAGGCUACUCACAACAGCCUGGCAUAGAUUUCACCGAGACGUUUGCACCAGUAGCUUGGAUGGAAACAAUAAGAACUGUUCUUGUUUUGGCAGCUCAAUUGGAGUUGAAAGUGUUCCAACUUGAUGUAAAAUCUGCUUUCUUAAAUGGUGAGCUGAAGGAAGAGGUCUAUGUUGAGCAACCUCAAGGUUUCCAAGUAAAAGGGAAAGAAGACAAAGUGUAUAGGCUUCGAAAGGCUUUGUAUGGCCUAAAGCAAGCCCCCCGAGCUUGGAACAACAGGAUUGAUGGUUAUUUCCAGCAAAGUGGAUUCAAGAUGAGCCCAAGUGAACCUUCACUGUAUGUGAAGACAGUAAGACUUUCUUCUUGUUUGCUUAUAUGUUGAUGAUUUGAUCUUUUUUGGUUCAAAUAUGAAAAUGCUCAAAGAUUUCAAGAAAAAUAUGAUGAAUGAGUUUGAAAUGACUGACUUGGGUCUUAUGAGAUAUUUUCUUGGGAUCCAAGUGAAACAAAGCAAAGGGCAGAUUUUUCUCUCACAAGAAAAGUAUGUAAAAGAUUUGCUUAAGAAAUUUCAUAUGGAAAAAUGCAAAGCAGUGCCUACGCCUAUGGCUUUAAAUGAAAAGUUGCAGCAAAAUGAUGGAGAACCAAGAGUUGAUGCUGAGCUUUAUAGAAUCUUGGUUAGCUCUCUGAUUUAUCUCACCAACACAAGACCUGAUAUAAUGCAUUCAGUGAGUGUGAUUUCUAGAUACAUGAAUGAGCCAACAAAGUCUUAUUAUACAGCAGCAAAAAGAAUCUUAAGGUAUCUACAAGACAAAAAAACAGGGAAUCAAGUAUGUGAAAGAGAAAGAUUUUAAGCUUGUUGGAUAUACUGAUAGCGAUUGGGUAGGUUCCCUUGAUGAUCGGAAGAGCACAUCAGGUUAUCUUUUUUGCUUAGGUUCAAAUGUGAUAUCAUGGAGUUCAAAGAAGCAAAAAUCAGUGGCGUUAUCGUCUGCGGAAGUAAAAUACAUUGCAACGACCGAUUGUGCAUGUAAAGCAGUUUGGUUAAAAAGAAUUUUGAAUGAUUUGCACCUAAAACAAAAUGAACCUACAAGAAUCUAUUGUGACAACAGGUCAACAAUAGCAAUGGCAAAAAAUCCAGUUUUUCAUACUCGCUCUAAGCAUAUAGAGCUUCGUUAUCACUUCAUCAGAGACUUAGUGAACAAAGGAGAAAUUUGCAUGGAGUUUGUUAGUACUAACAACCAGCCAGCUGAUGCUCUAACCAAACCAGUCACAAGGGAGAAAUUUGAGAAGUUCAAGAACGAAUUGUAGAUUACAAAUUAAGAGGGGGUGUUAGAAAGUAAUUAUGUAAUCUCAUAUUCCUAGAAGCAGUAUUAAAUAUGGUUGUUGAGCUUGCUGAAUUCUAUAAGUGUCUUUUGUAUUCUCAAAAAGAGUAUUUAAGUCUUAUUCUAGAGAACAUCACUCCUAGAUUAAAUAGGAGAUUGUUGUAACCCAUGAAUGGUUAAGAAAAGAAGUCCAGCAGUCUAUAAUAAAAAAAUAAUAAAAAAAGGAAAACUAUUCUGCAGGAGCAGUAGCUCUGCAAAGCCUAUUGUACUCACCUUCUUUCUAAUAAAAAUCUAAUUUUAUCAAUUUCAUUGAAAAGUCCUGUCACUGUUCAUUGUGCUUUCGUUUGCCCCAACAAUAAGUACCAGUGUCACAACUUCAUAAAUUUAAUAAAGAUGUCAUCAAAAGUAAACUAAAAUUUACCAUUCAAACUUUUGAACGUCUUCAAAUUUACCACUGACCAGGGCAAAAUGGUUCAAGUUUUAAAGGGGGUUGAUGAUUAUGCCAUUAGGAGCUGGGAAAUUAAGCCUAUAUAUAUGUUUUGUCCUGAAAUAAACCAUAUAUGCAUCGAUGAUAUUAACCAACUCCUAUAAAAUCAUGCUCAAAUUUUAGGUCGUACUAUUUUUAUAUCUCCAAUUGAAUAGAGAUUUUCUUAGAGAAGAAGAAGAUGAUGAUUGAUGUGUAAGUACUCCACAAUAACUUUUCCAUGCAUCAAAGAGAAAAGUAGCAUAGAAAAGCAGUUCAACUGUAGAGGAGUGAAAAGGGAAAAUGCAUGGGUGCAGCAAAAAACCAACGUACCCUACUAGGUUUGUUGAAUUAAUGUUGAAUCGUGCAUUAAUGCAUCGGCUUUCUUCUCUUCUUCUUGAUCAACAGUGAUUCGGAUCGGAGGCCUACAUGCUGCUCUGUAAUUAUGUAAAAUUACUGACACCCGACAUCCCAUUUUCCCAUGCAUGGAAAAUGACUACUUGCACGCCUAAUUAAUCUUUCAUGGUUUUUGGCUCUACUUCCACUCACUCGGGCUUAUGAUUCAACAUAUACUCCAUCUUAAUUAGUUGGCUGGCUGGCUAGCUAGCCAAGUAAGCGGGUGGACCUCUCGCGCGCACGUCAAUGCACAAUGCAAAUUCAGAAUUGGCCCAAAAAAACAAAUGUAUGUCAAAGAGUUUCUUUUUGACAUCCAUGCAUGCAUAUCUAGCUAGCAUAGCUGUAGGAAAUAAUUUUGGGUAAAUUUGUUAUUUCUUUUUGCUUAGAUUAGAUUGAAAUGAAAAGGGAUGGAUACAGAUCAGGUCCUCUUAUAAUUGGAACAUCUUAUAUUUAUUUAUAUUUAUAAAAAAGUAACCACAAGGACAUUUAAUUUACGUACGUGAGAAUGAAUCCACAUGCAGUGAGUCUAAAAGAACUGUUGUACGUACGUACGUAGUUGCUACUAGGAACGAAGGAUCGCUCGCUUGGAGGAGGAGUUCCUUUGAUCUAUAUACCUACAUUAUAAGUUGCCAGUCUUAUCAAAUAAUUUUGGUCAAAUUAGGCAAUCCUUGCUUUUCUUGGAUCCUAAUUUUACUCUUCCUUUCUCUCAUCACGUAUUAAUUUUACAGUGGGUUGAAUGAUCAUACCAUCUUCUUUCCACAAAUAAAGUCUCAUUUGAAAAUAUAUUUUUAUUUCAUAUUUAUUCUUAAAAUAAGAAAUUGAUAGUUUAAUAGUACGUGCAUGGUAGUAUAUAGUAUGAUAAUAAAAUUAUGUUUGUAUUGUCUUGUUGUGAAAGGGGGGGAGGGUUAGUUUUAGCAUACUCUAUAAUGGAAAGGAAUGGCUGAUGACCAUAGAUAUAUAAUGAAUGUACUCUUUCCAUUGGUCAAUAUUAU